GGGCCCGUAGCUCAGCAAGGCAGAGCGGCGGGCUCCAGACCCGUAGGGCGGGGGUUCAAAUCCCUCCGGGCCCACCA
rnacentral:tRNA from 2 species